GACCCGAAACCAUGUGACCUACCCAUGAGCAGGUUGAAGGUGAGGUAAAACUCACUGGAGGACCGAACCAGGGCACGUUGAAAAGUGCUUGGAUGACUUGUGGGUAGCGGAGAAAUUCCAAACGAACUUGGAGAUAGCUGGUUCUCUCCGAAAUAGCUUUAGGGCUAGCGUCGACAUUAAGAUUCUUGGAGGUAGAGCACUGUUUGGGUGAGGGGUCCAUCCCGGAUUACCAAUCUCAGAUAAACUCCGAAUGCCAAUGAAUUAUGGUCGGCAGUCAGACUGCGAGUGCUAAGAUCCGUAGUCGAAAGGGAAACAGCCCAGACCACCAGCUAAGGUCCCAAAAUAAUUGUUAAGUGGAAAAGGAUGUGGGGUUGCACAGACAACUAGGAUGUUAGCUUAGAAGCAGCUAUUCAUUCAAAGAGUGCGUAAUAGCUCACUAGUCGAGUGACCCUGCGCCGAAAAUGUACCGGGGCUAAAACAAUUUACCGAAGCUGUGGAUACCUUUAUAGGUAUGGUAGGAGAGCGUUCUAUGUGUGGAGAAGGUGUACCGUGAGGAGCGCUGGAACGCAUAGAAGUGAGAAUGCCGGUAUGAGUAGCGAAAGACAGGUGAGAAUCCUGUCCACCGUAAGACUAAGGUUUCCAGGGGAAGGCUCGUCCGCCCUGGGUUAGUCGGGACCUAAGGAGAGACCGAAAGGUGUAUCCGAUGGACAACAGGUUGAUAUUCCUGUACUAGAGUAUGUAGUGAAGGAGGGACGCAGUAGGCUAACUAAAGCGUGCGACUGGAAGUGCACGUCUAAGCAGUGAGGUGUGAAUUGAGUUAAAUGCUUAAUUCUGUAACAUUGAGCUGUGAUGGGGAGCGAAGUUUAGUAGCGAAGUUAGUGACGUCACACUGCCAAGAAAAGCUUCUAGCGUUAAUCAUACUCUACCCGUACCGCAAACCGACACAGGUAGUCGAGGCGAGUAGCCUCAGGUGAGCGAGAGAACUCUCGUUAAGGAACUCGGCAAAAUGACCCCGUAACUUCGGGAGAAGGGGUGCUGGCUUUCAGUCAGCCGCAGUGAAUAGGCCCAAGCAACUGUUUAUCAAAAACACAGCUCUCUGCUAAAUCGUAAGAUGAUGUAUAGGGGGUGACGCCUGCCCGGUGCUGGAAGGUUAAGAGGAGUGCUUAGCGUAAGCGAAGGUAUGAAUUGAAGCCCCAGUAAACGGCGGCCGUAACUAUAACGGUCCUAAGGUAGCGAAAUUCCUUGUCGGGUAAGUUCCGACCCGCACGAAAGGCGUAAUGAUUUGGGCACUGUCUCAACGAGAGACUCGGUGAAAUUUUAGUACCUGUGAAGAUGCAGGUUACCCGCGACAGGACGGAAAGACCCCAUGGAGCUUUACUGCAGUUUGAUAUUGAGUGUCUGUGCCACAUGUACAGGAUAGGUAGGAGCCAUUGAGAUCGGGACGCCAGUUUCGAUGGAGGCGUUGUUGGGAUACUACCCUUGUGUUAUGGCCACUCUAACCCGGUAGGUUCAUCAUCUACGGAGACAGUGUCUGACGGGCAGUUUGACUGGGGCGGUCGCCUCCUAAAAGGUAACGGAGGCGCCCAAAGGUUCCCUCAGAAUGGUUGGAAAUCAUUCGCAGAGUGUAAAGGUAUAAGGGAGCUUGACUGCGAGAGCUACAACUCGAGCAGGGACGAAAGUCGGGCUUAGUGAUCCGGUGGUUCCGUAUGGAAGGGCCAUCGCUCAACGGAUAAAAGCUACCCUGGGGAUAACAGGCUUAUCUCCCCCAAGAGUUCACAUCGACGGGGAGGUUUGGCACCUCGAUGUCGGCUCGUCGCAUCCUGGGGCUGUAGUCGGUCCCAAGGGUUGGGCUGUUCGCCCAUUAAAGCGGCACGCGAGCUGGGUUCAGAACGUCGUGAGACAGUUCGGUCCCUAUCCGUCGCGGGCGUAGGAAAUUUGAGAGGAUCUGCUCCUAGUACGAGAGGACCAGAGUGGACUUACCGCUGGUGUACCAGUUGUCUCGCCAGAGGCAUCGCUGGGUAGCUAUGUAGGGAAGGGAUAAACGCUGAAAGCAUCUAAGUGUGAAACCCACCUCAAGAUGAGAUUUCCCAUGAUUUUAUAUCAGUAAGAGCCCUGAGAGAAGAUCAGGUAGAUAGGUUAGGAGUGGAAGUUGUGUGAGCAAUGGAGCGGACUAAUACUAAUAGCUC
rnacentral:rRNA from 1 species